ensembl:lncRNA
GGGACCUAAUUUGCAACAAUGUCUGUUUGUCCAAUCGUUGCUGACCGGAACCUUGUGGGAGGUCUACAUCCAGCUCUUUUCCUUCACUAUGAUGGGGGUUAUUGAUAGACUCUGUUACCAGCACCUGGCUCAACCUCCUGCAUUCAGGGUUGAGAAGGACCCAUAGAAGGGAAAAAAGAAAAACACUGAGGAACAUGGUUCUGCAUGGAAGAUCCUAAAUGGCAACAAAUGGUUUCAGCCAGCCAAGAGUGCAUGAGUUCAGAUCCACAUAGCUGAAGAGAAAAACCUGAAACCUUUAACCCUAAACAUUUUGAAACCAGAAGUCUAGUGAGGAAGCUAAAGAAAGCUUCAAGAGAUGAAAGAAUGACAUCAACGUAAUUAUCACUCUCUCUUUUCAAGGAGCUGCUUAUCCACCAGGAAGAAGAUAGAUGAGAAUGGAAAACACAGUGAAAACAGCAUGCUGAGAUUUUGUUUUUUCCAAAGCAAGUAGAAGCAGCUGGUUGUUUGUCUGCUGAGACAGAACCUAUGGAACUUAUGGGAGAAGAGAAAUGUCAAUAAAAUCAGUCACUUCUUGAAGACCCAGGUUGAUAUUUUCUUUUGCAAAAUAAGGACUCUAGAGGCUCUCAGAGACUGUUUCUUACCAUCAAGCAUUUCCUUUUUCCUUAGCUCCUGUCCCACUGGAAAGAAAAAAUUCAAUUUAAUUUCCUUCUAUCAGAUAGAACACUUGGAAAGACACUCAAGCAUUUACUAAUUUAUUCUUGACUACGUUAGUUUUAAUCCUAAAAGCUCCU